UACGGGGGGGGCAAGCGUUGUUCGGAAUUACUGGGCGUAAAGGGUGCGUAGGCGGUCCGCUAAGUUGGAUGUGAAACUCUGGGCUUAACCCAGAGCCUGCAUUCAAAACUGACGGGGCUAGAGUUCUGGAGGGGGUAGCGGAAUUCCUGGUGUAGCGGUGAAAUGCGUAGAUAUCAGGAGGAACACCGGUGGCGAAGGCGGCUACCUGGACAGAAACUGACGCUGAGGCGCGAAAGCCUAGGGGAGCAAACAGG
rnacentral:rRNA from 1 species